rnacentral:lncRNA from 1 species
CCGAAUUUGAACCUAGGCCAAGUGCUACAAAGUAUGACGGUGAUGGUUACAAAAUGGCGAAACUACCUGUAAAUAGUGAAUUUGAACCUAGGCCAAGUGUUACAAAAUAUGACGGCGGUGAUUAUAAAAAUAAGAAGUCACGAGUGAAUAGUGAGUUUGAACCUAGGCCAAGCGUCACAAGGUACGAUGAUGGUAGUUAUAAAAGUGGGAAGUUGUAUGUGAGCGUUGAAUUUGAACCUAGGCCAAGCGUUACAAAGUAUGGCGGUGAUGAUUAUAAAAUGGUGAAACUACCAGUAAAUAGUGAGUUUGAACCUAGACCAAGUGCUACAAAGUAUGACGGUCAUGAUUAUAAAAAUAAGAAGUUGCAUGUGAAUGAAGAGUUCGAACCUAGACCAAGCGCCACAAAAUAUAAUGAGUAAUGAAAUAGAAGACUGUGAGAUUGCCAUAAGAGAAAAAUAGUGUGUGGUUUAAGUGUAUCCAAUGGUAAC